AAGUCGUAACAAGGUAACCGUAGGUGAACCUGCGGUUGGAUCAUUACAAAAUUGGUUUCUUACCAAAACACUGUGUGCACCAUAACUGUUCUUGGCAGCGUAUCAGAUGGGUCAGAAGUUGCUGAGUACGAGCCCGGAUCACCUGGCUCGACUACUCGGUAUUGACCUGUCGAUCGCUGCCGCAUGUCCAAACUUUGUAUUAUAAAAUUAAGUCUGAAUCAGUUCACCACAAAGUGAAAUGAAAAACAACUUUUGACAACGGAUCUCUUGGCUCUC
rnacentral:misc_RNA from 1 species